UCUCGGAUACGCAUGGCGAUUUCCCGCUGGAGUUAUCCUUUCUCGACAAGUCACGUUACGCGCAGCUACUAUACGAGUGAGAGAUAUGAGUUGAGUUAGCUGUCAUGGAACUAAGUAUCCAAGUCAUCUAGGUCUUCACCGUUCGAGGAAAUAAAUGUCUACAUGGUCGCUAUCGAGGAAGCGAGUGUCUAUGCAUGUGUUCGCCGUCAAGGAACAGUGUCCAAGUAUCAUCCAGAAUAUCAGAACUACACAUAUCCAAAAUUAACCAAUUUGACGGAAAGCCAAUUUUCAUAAGAUUGGUGCGAGGUUCUUUAUAUAAUUUUUUGUUUUUAACAUCAUAAAUUGGAUAUGAAAGAACGGAAGCUAGAAAAAUGGAUAAUACAGAAAAUUCAAUUGUAAUAUACACAUAAAUACAUACGUACAGAUUUACUAUAUAAUAUUUACAUAAAUUUACAAAUCCAUUGAAUCAGCAGCAGACAUUACAUAUAGAAAUACAAGUAUCAUAAAUUUUUCAUGAUUUUUA